rnacentral:rRNA from 1 species
AACGAACGCUGGCGGCGUGCCUAACACAUGCAAGUCGUGCGGGAAAGUGGGGGCAACUCCACGAGUAGAGCGGCGCACGGGUGAGUAACACGUAGGUAACCUGCCUUCGAGACUGGGAUAACCUGUCGAAAGACGGGCUAAGACCGGAUAAGACCACGGGGGUUGGAGGCUCCCGCGGUAAAAAGUAGGCCUCUGCUUGCAAGCUACUACUCGAGGAUGGGCCUGCGCGCCAUUAGCUAGNGGCGGGGGUAACGGCCCACCAAGGCAAAGAUGGCUAGCUGGUCUGAGAGGAUGGCCAGCCACACUGGGGACUGAGACACGGCCCAGACUCCUACGGGGAGGCAGCAGUGGGGAAUAUUGCGCAAUGGGCGAAAGCCUGACGCAGCGACGCCGCGUGGGUGAUGAAGG